rnacentral:rRNA from 1 species
GGCUAUGUUGGCCGGGCGACGGUUGUCCCGGUUUAAGCGUGUAGGCUGGUUUUCCAGGCAAAUCCGGAAAAUCAAGGCUGAGGCGUGAUGACGAGGCACUGCGGUGCUGAAGCAACAAAUGCCCUGCUUCCAGGAAAAGCCUCUAAGCAUCAGGUAACAUCAAAUCGUACCCCAAACCGACACAGGUGGUCAGGUAGAGAAUACCAAGGCGCUUGAGAGAACUCGGGUGAAGGAACUAGGCAAAAUGGUGCCGUAACUUCGGGAGAAGGCACGCUGAUAUGUAGGUGAAGUCCCUCGCGGAUGGAGCUGAAAUCAGUCGAAGAUACCAGCUGGCUGCAACUGUUUAUUAAAAACACAGCACUGUGCAAACACGAAAGUGGACGUAUACGGUGUGACGCCUGCCCGGUGCCGGAAGGUUAAUUGAUGGGGUUAGCGCAAGCGAAGCUCUUGAUCGAAGCCCCGGUAAACGGCGGCCGUAACUAUAACGGUCCUAAGGUAGCGAAAUUCCUUGUCGGGUAAGUUCCGACCUGCACGAAUGGCGUAAUGAUGGCCAGGCUGUCUCCACCCGAGACUCAGUGAAAUUGAACUCGCUGUGAAGAUGCAGUGUACCCGCGGCAAGACGGAAAGACCCCGUGAACCUUUACUAUAGCUUGACACUGAACAUUGAGCCUUGAUGUGUAGGAUAGGUGGGAGGCUUUGAAGUGUGGACGCCAGUCUGCAUGGAGCCGACCUUGAAAUACCACCCUUUAAUGUUUGAUGUUCUAACGUUGACCCGUAAUCCGGGUUGCGGACAGUGUCUGGUGGGUAGUUUGACUGGGGCGGUCUCCUCCUAAAGAGUAACGGAGGAGCACGAAGGUUGGCUAAUCCUGGUCGGACAUCAGGAGGUUAGUGCAAUGGCAUAAGCCAGCUUGACUGCGAGCGUGACGGCGCGAGCAGGUGCGAAAGCAGGUCAUAGUGAUCCGGUGGUUCUGAAUGGAAGGGCCAUCGCUCAACGGAUAAAAGGUACUCCGGGGAUAACAGGCUGAUACCGCCCAAGAGUUCAUAUCGACGGCGGUGUUUGGCACCUCGAUGUCGGCUCAUCACAUCCUGGGGCUGAAGUAGGUCCCAAGGGUAUGGCUGUUCGCCAUUUAAAGUGGUACGCGAGCUGGGUUUAGAACGUCGUGAGACAGUUCGGUCCCUAUCUGCCGUGGGCGCUGGAGAACUGAGGGGGGCUGCUCCUAGUACGAGAGGACCGGAGUGGACGCAUCACUGGUGUUCGGGUUGUCAUGCCAAUGGCACUGCCCGGUAGCUAAAUGCGGAAGAGAUAAGUGCUGAAAGCAUCUAAGCACGAAACUUGCCCCGAGAUGAGUUCUCCCUGACUCCUUGAGAGUCCUGAAGGAACGUUGAAGACGACGACGUUGAUAGGCCGGGUGUGUAAGCGCAGCGAUGCGUUGAGCUAACCGGUACUAAUGAACCGUGAGG